rnacentral:lncRNA from 1 species
UGGGGCCCCACAAGGGUGUGUGCUCAGCCGCAUCCUGUACUCCCUGUUCACCCACGAGUGCGUGGCCAUGCACGCCUCCAACUCAAUCAUCAAGUUUGCAGACGACACAACAUUAGUGGGCUUGAUUUCCAACAACGACGAGAAAGCUUACAGGGAGGAGGUGAGGGCACUCGUAUUUGUGUGUAUUAGGUAGUUGUUGGGGAAUUGUUUGAGUUCUUGUUAGAUAUUACUGCACUGUCGGAACUAGAAGCCCAAGCAUUUCAUUACACUCGCAUUAACAUCUGCUAACCAUGUGUAUGUGACCAAUAACAUUUGAUUUGAUAUACAUGACAAUAACUUAGCCUAUACUGAGCUCAAAGUUAGUCAGAAUCGACUGGCUAUGUAUUUUAAGAAGCUACAUCAUCUCCAUAAACUGAUUUCUUGAACCAGUGUAACCGGAGUGGUUGUCAAUCAGCUUGAUAGUUCCUAUCCCAUCCCCCUUCAUCUCGUUUUCUUUCUCCCCAUAUUCCCUCUGUUAUCGGCAGGGGUCGCAUGGCAUUCAGUAUGGAAAAGAGUAGUCGAACUAUAUAACUCCAAGUGAACGCAUGGAUCAACACUUCUACAUGACAAAGCGGACAUGGAGUGAGCGCGCCGCUGGAAAAUAGAAACAGACGAACGUUUUGGGAGAUAGCCAAUCUAGUUCUAUCUUUUUACAUUGACCUUGGGUUGUUGUAAACAAUUACAACGUUUGUUCAUGUAUAGUUGCUGAAACAUCUAUAUUUUUCACUCAAAGUUAACUUUACGCGUAUUUUUCCUUCUGCGAACACAAAUAGAUAUAGCCUAUUUAUCCAUAGAGCAUCAUCGCAGAAGCUUGAUAGUGCUGAAGUGAGAACACCAGCGGAUGUGAGGAGAUAGUGUUUUUAUAGACUCAACCCCCUUUUCUUUCAAUCAUUCUCUUUCUUUUUGUUUGGUCCAACAAUAGAGAGAGAGAGAGAAAUAGGGAGAGAGAGAGAGAGAGUCACAGGCAUUGGACCUGCUUUUAUGCCGUCAGUCUUGCGGACCCUGAGAUGGACGUGAGAUUUUAUCCAGCACCCCCUUCAAGCGUGGGCUCAUGUACAUUACCAACUGAUUCAAGUUGCCUGACCUCUUUGGACUAUUAUCACUGCAACAAGGACUCGGCUUAAUCUGGAUUCUGGAAACCGGCACUACAAAUCCAACCUGCUCCUCCUCCUAGUCAUCCCAAUCACAGGAUGUGACCUCACACUUUUACCCACAAUCCCCCUGGACGGCAUCGGUGAGCAAAAAAAACAACCAUACCAGCGGUGGCCAACCUUGCUCCACUGAUCCCGUGAGCAGACUUCUAUUCUAGCCCAGCAAUAGUACACUUGAUUAUCAGCUCGUAAGUUGAAUCGGGUGUGUUAUUGCUAGGCUGAAACAGAACACUGCACAGUCAACAGACCUACAGCAUGGUUGUCCUGCUGCAAUUCUAUUAGGUUUAUACAUUGUGUGUGAUGUUUAACUAUAUUUUUGUAUACAACAUUUGCUAACAUAUGUAGGCCUACACAUAUAACCCAUGGCAUAUAAGAUAUACCCUUAGUCUCUUGGGACGUUCAUUGGGACCUCUCUCUUCAUCUGCCAACAGGCUUUCACAGCAUUCCAUAUCUGAGGACAUAAAAUACUCAAAUUAGACAGUACUAGAUAUUAUUUUGCUAAUAUUUCUCUGUCCUCAAAGUUUUCCCCUCUAGUUUUCCCCUCUCGAACCUGAGAAUUUUUUCACAAUGUCCUCCCAGGAAAUGACCUGCCCUAACCAGUAGCUAUUCUAAGGAGCUGUUUGUGCAGAUCUGGCACCCAUGCACCAUCGGCUGCCUAGGCUAUCCAGUAGCCUACACUCUCUCUUUACUGACAGUAGUAGCUGCAAUUUCACCCUCUUCCAUCUCUGUUAUUCACUCA